UCCGUAGGUGGAUAAUUAAGUCAGGGGUGAAAGUCUGCAGCUCAACUGUAGAAUUGCCUUUGAUACUGGUUAUCUUGAAUUAUUAUGAAGUAGUUAGAAUAUGUAGUGUAGCGGUGAAAUGCAUAGAUAUUACAUAGAAUACCAAUUGCGAAGGCAGAUUACUAAUAAUAUAUCGACACUGAUGGACGAAAGCGUGGGGAGCGAACAGGAUUAGAUACCCUGGUAGUCC
rnacentral:rRNA from 1 species